AGGAGGAAUAACAGGCCCCUUAAUCUUACAAAAUCCUGUUUACGACUUUCAAAUUCCAAAAAGCCAACAUAUGUGUCCCAAACAAAACAAUACUUUUUUUUAAUUUUUUUGGGGGGGGAUCUCCUGAGAAACACUAAGACGGGCAGGAACUACAAUCAAUAUGAGAGAAGACAAACUGAUAAAUUUUUUUUUUCUUCUUAUUGAACGGCUUGUCUGGUUCCUGUCCUAACAAAACAAGUGGAGAGGAUAAUUCACAAUUCCAGUUUCAUUGAUUCACAGCGAGUUAAGAAACAAUCUAAAGCU
rnacentral:misc_RNA from 1 species